AUACGUAGGUGGCGAGCGUUGUCCGGAUUUACUGGGCGUAAAGCGCGUGCAGGCGGUUCGUUAAGUCCAGGGUGAAAGCUCCCGGCUCAACUGGGAGAGGUCCUUGGAUACUGGCGGACUUGAGGGGGGUAGAGGAGAGUGGAAUUCUCGGUGUAGUGGUGAUAUGCGUAGAUAUCGAGAGGAACACCAGUGGCGAAGGCGGCUCUCUGGGCCCUACCUGACGCUGAGACGCGAAAGCGUGGGGAGCGAACCGGAUUAGAAACCCGUGUAGUCC
rnacentral:rRNA from 1 species